rnacentral:hammerhead_ribozyme from 1 species
AUCCGGCUGAUGAGUUCCAAAUAGGACGAAACACGCAUCAAACUGGAU